CAAAUAGACAUCAUACAUCCGUUACCGCCGUGCUUACAGAGCUGUGCUGGAGACACAAUGGCCGCCCUGCUGUCUUAAUUACCUGUUACUACACUAAGUAUUUAAUCUCCAACUCAAGAAACAUGGGUUAUUAGUAAAUAAAACAAGGGGAGGCCUGCAAGACUUACAAGAGAGUUCACUUGAUUAAAGAAAAUCUCCAACUCUAACAUUAUUUUAUAUUUUCUCACAUGUUUCAAGAUUGGUGUUUAUUGUCAGUGAAUGAAAACAUUCUAGUUUACAUCCAGAAGCUGUGUGGCUUUUUCCGCAGUUCCACUGCAAAAAAUGCAACAAAAACAGUGUCAAAAACCACAUAUAUUACAGUUUUUGCCACGGAAAUGGCUGUGGAUUUCAUUCUCUCCAUUGCAAAGGGUGAAAUCUGCAGUGGAGAUCCAUAGCAUAAAUUGACAUGCUGCACCACAGGUCAACUUACUCUGCGGUUUUCUCCUGCAAUGUGUGCAUGAGUUUUUUCAAAUUCUCAUGCACUUUGCUGGUACUGUACAAUGCUGCGGAUUUAGACCAGAACAUCUGCAACGGCAAAUUUACAGCAUUUCAGCCAUUGUGGACAUAGCGUAAAGGCAGUUUUUUCAGCAUUUUGCCCUUUCACCUGCAGUGAGCCCAAUAGGAGCCGGAGCAGACGAUGGAAGUGGUAGUAGCUCUAGCUGUUACAGUCAAUCACAGUGGCUUUCCUCAUACCAUUGUUCCCUACAGCAGUGCAGUGAAAGGAGGGCACAUCCUUUUUUCCCUCGGGGCACACCCUGGUUGUUGGGCUCCUGCCUGAUAGAAGUUGGACUUCCUGUGAUGUUAAGUGUUUGUAUGGGUGCAAGGCAGGGCAUGUAAAGUGCAAUGGCCACUGUAUCAUGCAGGAGUCAGAUAACUAGGCCAGAGUUAGAAAAAUAAAUUUCUCUUUUUACUCAAGUCCAAAAUGACAGUUUUAGUAUAUCCAAUUAUAGCAGACACAGCUCCUACUCUCCUAGAUAGCAGUGUAUGGAUUUAGGCAAGGGUGGGAGUUAUGGCCAUCUUCCCUCUCUAUCUGUCUGAAGACACUUCUAAUAGAAUCUAUGGUUGGUAACAGUACCUUGGCAAUAAUAAUAGUGUCCACUGUGGGAUACAGGGUUUUGAAGGCACCUCUGGCCAGGACCUGGCCAGGAGUGAAGAGUGUCCCUUACUUCAGCAAAGUCUGAAUGGCCGUAGUAGCAGGUUGCCUUGCUGACUCCUAUGCUUGGCCAUGUAAAGUCUUAGUUUUCCAAUCCUCUCCUUUGUCUUUCUCCUUCUCUUCUUCUGUAGAUCAUGUAGAGAUCAGUGAGUCUCUGUAGGUUUUUGGGCCUCAGUAGAAGAAGCAUAGGUCACUGCUUCCUUCCUCUUUAAAUACUCACUCUCAACUCCCUAACUAAGCUGGGGACAGUUCCUAGAUCAUCACCCAACCUCCUGCAAGGGCCAAGCCAGGAUUGUAAACCCUGGCUGUGCCAUCCAUACACAUCGAUACUGAGUACUGUACUUAAUAUGACAAUGCAUAACAGCAUAUUAUAUAAUAUAUAACAUGACACACAAUUUUCAGCUACCCCUGCUUUGGGAUACUGUAUACAGUACAUACUCCUCACCGCUCCUUUCCAGGUCACUGGGUCUGUUUGGCGAUCUUCUGGCUCCUUAUUUAUUUACCUUCUAGGUGGCAUUUGGAAGGGCUCACAUUUGCCAGCAGUGACCUGCCACUGGGAACUGAGUCCAGUCAUUGGCUGCAGCGUCACACGUGACUCCUUCUAUACCCAUCCAGAAAUAAGCAAACAGGGCACCAGAAGAUCACCGGAAGUAGCAAGGGCACUGGAACAGAACGGCAGGGAACAGAUGAACACUGAAAUGCAAAGGCCACAAAACCUGCCGGCCAUAAAGCUUGUGGAUAAUUCAUAGAGCGGGGGACACCUUGUCAUCAGCCUAUUGUGACCAGGAGCCUGAAGAAUGGCAAGCAGCAGGUGUGCGCAGAGCGAGCCACACAGACAUGGCCGGGCCAUAGAAUUCCCAGCUGCAGCCCCAACUCCACGUCUCAUUCAUUUUCACAAACUCGGCUCAUUUGGCGAUUGUGUCAGGAGUAAUGGGCUUUUCUCAGCUUUAAGACGAACAGAUACACAAUGACCAGGAACACGAAAAGCAUGACAGAUACAAGUGCCAGGAUGAGGGAGCGGUAAGAUUCCCUCUUGAAAGAU